GACAGUACACUGCCCACUUACCUUGUACUGAAAUUCAACAUUUUAUUAAAAGAACGAAGACAGCACGUUUGAACUCUAUUCAUGUUACAUUAGGAUGAUUGACUUUUGGAUGUAUAGGUCUUUACGCCUUUAUCUUAUUCUGCAAUGACUCUGUGAGAGAGGAAGAAUAAAAGGGAAUGGAAGUUUGGAAAAUUUUAGACUAG